rnacentral:rRNA from 1 species
AUAUUACUAAAGUAGUAAAUUAAAAUUGAAACUUAAAGAAUUUGGCGGUAUUUUAAUCUAUUCAGAGGAACCUGUCCUUUAAUCGAUAUUCCACGUUAAAUUUUACUAAAUUAUUUAUAUAUCGUUGUCGAAAGAAUAAAUUUUCAAGAAUUUUUAUUUAAAUUUAUGUCAAAUCAAGGUGUAGUUAAUAAUUUAGUAGAGAUGGGUUACAAUAAAAGUAUUUAGGAUAUUAUUGAAGGUGGAUUUGAUAGUAAAUAAAUUUUAAUAUAAUUUAUUGAUAUUAGUUCUAAAAUAUGU